ACUGGUUUGUUUAUAUUGCUUUUACUAUGUUUGGCAAUGGGCCUUGAAUUCCUUAUCUUUCCAAGGCCCAUUCCCAAACAUAGUAAAAGCAAUAUAAAUAUCAUGAAGU
rnacentral:pre_miRNA from 7 species